rnacentral:lncRNA from 1 species
CAAGUUUACAUAAUUUGUACAGAGUGUACCUAGUAAAUGAAGAGUACACUGAGCUCAUAAACAGGCUCUUGCUAUUGUUGCACUAAGCUAUCUCAGCAGAGGGCUUGUUUCUCAGCUCAGCAUUAUUAAUGCCUUCCCUAUUAUUGCAGAGUGUGAGGAACAGAAUGCCUUUAUCUCUCUUAUUGGCUGCAGGUUCUCAGCAGAGUUUGAACACAUAUUCUGCUUGGCCAGUACAAUCUGGUUUGAAACUUACUGCAAACAGUCACAGGUUGAAAAAUGUUUUAAGAAAGCAACUUGCUACAUCAACCAUUCUGACCCAUCAACAAACCAGUUUCCAGACAGGACUUGCUCGUCUUUUCUUCCAUCAUAGCUGAUUGAACGAGAAUUCCCCCUGCUGCAGCACUUCUAAUGUCUCCAUGCAGAUAUUGCGAGGUCUCAUUUUCAGAGAAAAAAAAAAGUCUUGCUCUCCUUCCACCAAACCCCAUAUGAAGGGACCAGAAGCCCUGAGCCCCUGCCCUCCCCACCACCCAGGAAGCCAGGUGGCUGAGGGGAUUGUCAAGGCCAAAGCUUCAGAGCACCCACCAAGCACUGGCCUCCUGCAGACACACAGUCCAGACGGAAGGCUCUCUUUGUGGCUCAAAAAGGAUAAAAAUGAAAAAUCCUGCAUGGCUCAGAAAGGAUGAAUGGAGAAAUCCUGCCAUCCUGGCUUAAGAAGAGAGAGCCAAGAUGCACAAAAGAUUUUUGUUACAAAAACAACAGUAACAAUCCUCCCUUCUCAGAAUCCCUUACUAGAGGCUUUUUUUUGAACAUCUCAACUGAAAGGCUGAUCCCAAGCAGCUUUUUGGCCAGAUGACCUUGGCACACUUUGCCCUGUACCCUGCUAGGUGGAAAGGCCCCGUGUUGCUCUGAUGGGUAGAUAAAAGGAGGCGGCAUCAGCACAAACUUGGCCUGACUCUGUUGGGACCAGCAGUAUGUGUGAAGACAGUCACAUUAAGAUUUUAAUUCACAUUUAAGACAUUAAACUUAAUCUAACUGUGACCCUGUCCCUUAUCAAUGGAAGUUCUCUGGGCUCAAUGAGGCAUGAGAACUCUGCAACAAGACACAUGCUUUCUUAACCAGGCAAAAGGUAUAGGAAUUAAAUACCAGUGGGCAUUUUCCCUCAUGUCACAAGCACAAACAUCCUACAUUCUACCCUGAAUUAUAUGUAUUAACUCUGAAUGUGGUGAGCCUCUGUUGUAAAAUCUGGGGAAUGGUAACACGAUGCUCCUGAAUACCUGGGAAGCUGUCUUCCAUUUCUGUACUGGCAAGAAAAGGACCCCAUGGGAUGAGAUGCAUUUCACAGUUUUGCCUGUUGUAUCUUCAGACUUAAUCUAUCACUCGAGGUAUACAUGAAUGUGAAAAGAGAGCAAAACUGUAGUAGAAAGAAUAUGAAAAGAGAGCAAAAUUGUAGUAGAAAGCUCUUGCAGGCAUAACUCAUGGUUUUUAACAGACUUGAUUGUGAAAGAGAAAUGCAAAUGACCUGUAGAAUAUUAUUCGGCAAAUAAGACACUAAGAAGCAGAAGUGACGAUUAGCUUUCAGUCUUCUAAGAAAGAGGUAUGUUCCUUACUUUAUUCUUGCUUUUCUUCCAAACUCUGUCAAGCUAUACGGGAGAUUCAGAUCAACAAUCAUGAACUUGUACUAAUACCACAUCACAGAUGACUACUAUCAUUCACUUUGAUGACCACAAAAUCAAAGCUCAGCAUCUUGUGAAAGCCAAGCAGGGUGAUUACAAAAUCAGGCCCAAACCAUUUUCAGCAUUAUAUCCUUUAAAAUGCUAAUGCUUUAAUCCAUAGACACUGAUCAAACAGCUCAAAAAACUCCACAUUUGAGAUCAAGGCUCCGGACUUUCAAGGGAACUUUCUCACUCAAAAAGUUUCAGAGGUGAGAAGCAUAAUUACAUGCAUAUUUCAAAGGGAGGGAAAAGUUUGAAGGUAUCUUUGAAAAUUAGAAGUUUGCCUUGCCUCCUCCCACAUGGUGAGAUUAGGUCUUUUAUUUGUUUCUGGUAAGCUCUAGCAAACUGUGAUACAAGAAUUAUAGACCAAUUCUCUGUGCUUUGUUAUUUACACAAAAUUUAAACAUGAUUUCAUAAAAACUUAUUUUCUGCCUUUUUUUGCACUUUAUCCUACACAUUCUUUGAGCUGAAAUCCUUAAAAGCCAGCUGUUGAACAGUCUGAGAUUACAGUAUAGAAUGUUAGAGCAAAUAAGCAAAUUAGAUGAGAAGAGAAAAAUAGCAUGAAUCCUUACUACUCUCUACUAUAAUUUUCUUUGCAGAUGCUUACCAUCCUGCAGCAGUGCCCUGACACCAGCUGCAGUUACGUGGCUCACUCUGGAUGUCUGCAGUGCAGAAAUCAUUGGAAGAUAAAAGACAACACACAGUUUUACUGUAAGCCUUACAUACCUGAAUCAUCACCUUUCUGAAGUCGGCAGAUCACAAGAUGAGAUUCAGUGCAACCUGGAUGGGAAGAAUUGAAGUUGAACUGUCAACGGGUCUGACAGUUGUUAUAACAGGAUGAAAACUGGAAGAGAAUUAAACAGAAGCACCCUAAGCUUCACCAUAAACCCAUGCCUAGUCUAACAGCUGAGAAGAAUGGAAGGGGGUGAGUUUAUAUUAUAAGAGAAGGAAGACGCCACUCAUCUCCAUCCUGCUUUCCUCCAUUCACAGAUACGGAAGUGCCACUUGCCCAUGCAAAGUUGCAGUUCUUGGUAUCCAAACCCCCUCCACAGUCAAGUUCCUAAGCAAGGACAUUUUCCAUGGUCAGACUUCACAGAUUGCUUUACUCUGAAAUGGUUACACUGUUCUUCAUCCCCCCCCCCUUAUUUUAUGUCAUUUUUAACUUCUUAAAUCAAAACUGCUCUUAAGAAAUAGCAGCUAGGCAUAAGGUACUUUACAAGAUUUAGGUUCUUCUGUUCGCUCUGACACAGUGCAAGCAGAAGGAAUCACAUGGACUUCUAUGAGCAGAUCAUCUGUCUAUUAUCUGACAUUAUAUUUUACUUUGCUACCAAACCACUUUUUUUUUUUUUGUUUGUUUAAUUCACUAUCUUAAAUAAUUUUCCUUUUCUCAGGAAUUUUACAUUUUAAACAUGAGCUAUCAUUCCCUAAGGUCAGAAGAAGGAAGCUUUGGUAGCAGAGACAGCUGCAACAUAGCUGAUAUACUACAGUCAUUAUGAGUUUGUUUUGGCCAUGCAUUAAAAUUCUGUUGAUUUAAGUAUUCAUGUGUGUCUAAUUCUGCUGGAUGAGACUGAGAGUUUUCAGGCAUCUGUGUGCAAUAUCAGUAUAACUUUCUAUUUACUUUCCAUGUGAAAAUGAGUGAACACUUUGUCAGUCUUGAUACUUUUUUUUCCUGUACUGUUCUGUUUUGCUUUUUGCCAUGUGCUUAUUGAUAUGUCCCAUUUUUCAAUGCCACUGUAUUUUGGCAUAGAGAUCGCCUCAACCAUCAUUCAUGGAAACUAAGACCAUAGGCUCAGAACGUUUUCAAUUCACAUCACACAGCUCUCCAAGAAGCUUUAUGAUUUCAACUUAAUUUGAAUCACACUUCCUGGAUAGUGAGUAAAAUUACAUGUUAAUUAUGAGGGGUUCCCAGCUCCUGCUAAGUCCAUGCAAUUCAAAAUACCUGCCUUAAAUUCAAAUCAGCUGAACCCUUGGCCUUGUCUUUUUCUUUUACAGAGCUAAGAAAUGGGAUAUGAUAUGUAAGAGCAGAUUUCUUGCAAAAACAGGUGGAAUUUUUAACCUUUAAACUAUCCAGACAAAGAGUAAAUCCUCCUUAACUCUUACAAGGUGCUUAUUUCAGUAUGAGCAGUAACUGAAAGUAGCAGCAUCAGUACUGGGAAGUAAAUUAGAGGAUUCACCACAUCAUCCAGAUGUAUCUUGAACAACUGCCCAUUGAGAAAAAAAAUGCACAUUUACACAUAUCUAAGAUGUCACACCCAAUUUCACUAUAUUGCCUGUGAAAUUAGCAUAAUUAUUGGCAUUGAUAACAGCAUACUGCAUUUUCAUAUGGGCAAGAAUUGCAACUCUGUAGUAUGCAGCAUAGACAUAUGUAUGUCACAUACCUGUUGGCUCAGUGACGGCUGCUGGUAUCCAUAUAAUUAUAGCCCAUUUAACACAUAUCCUACACAACAAUGAGCCACUGAUCGAUAGCAAAGCACUGAAAAUUAGACUCUGAGUUAAGGAAAAACAUUAACAUAGUAAUGCUAUAUUUUUUGGUAAUGAAUCAGUGCCUUUCUAGGAGAUAGAGUCCCUCCAACAAGGACUUUGCUUUCAUUUCUAUUUUCCUCAUUUGUGGAACAAAGGUGGUGAUAAAACACCACUACCGCACAUACAGAAUGUGAGAGUUGGCUGCUUUAACAGUGAGAAAUGGUGCAUGACUUAAGUCAGGAGACAUCUCUGAUACUCUGCUGAAGUAAUGCGUUAAUACAGGAUUGGAUUCAUACAAUGCAACUAUCUGUACAGUUUCUUGCUGUGCCAUCAUUGGCUGAAACUUAUUAAUACCAAAGUCCACGGGCAUACUUUGUGUAUAAAUGCUAAUAACUCAAGAAAAAGUUGUAACUUGGCAGCUAUAUUUUAAGCAAAAAC